GAAGGAACAAUGUUAAUGCUAUUACAACUGCUAAUGUUGCUGAUUUCCCACCUAAUUUGGUCAACCCUGAGGCGGUUGAAUUAGUGUCAGACGUUCGAAGGGAAUAUGCCAGAAAACUUGAUGAGUCUGAAGAGAGGGCUCGAAAACUUCGAUCAGAUCUUGCUGUUGAAGAGCAUCGAGGCCAGGAGAUAAGCAGGAUUCUCAAGGAGAUACUGUCUGAUCCAAAGCCCUCACCUCCUCAGAGAUCUCG
rnacentral:misc_RNA from 1 species